rnacentral:rRNA from 1 species
GAUGAACGCUGGCGGCGUGCCUAAUACAUGCAAGUCGAGCGAACGGACGAGAAGCUUGCUUCUCUGAUGUUAGCGGCGGACGGGUGAGUAACACGUGGAUAACCUACCUAUAAGACUGGGAUAACUUCGGGAAACCGGAGCUAAUACCGGAUCAUAUUUUGAACCGCAUGGUUCAAAAGUAAAAGACGGUCUUGCUGUCACUUAUAGAUGGAUCCGCGCUGCAUUAGCUAGUUGGUAAGGUAACGGCUUACCAAGGCAACGAUGCAUAGCCGACCUGAGAGGGUGAUCGGCCACACUGGAACUGAGACACGGUCCAGACUCCUACGGGAGGCAGCAGUAGGGAAUCUUCCGCAAUGGGCGAAAGCCUGACGGAGCAACGCCGCGUGAGUGAUGAAGGUCUUCGGAUCGUAAAACUCUGUUAUUAGGGAAGAACAUAUGUGUAAGUAACUGUGCACAUCUUGACGGUACCUAAUCAGAAAGCCACGGCUAACUACGUG